UCUGCGACGCAGCUAACGCAUUAAGCGCCCCGCCUGGGGAGUACGAUCGCAAGAUUAAAACUCAAAGGAAUUGACGGGGCCCCGCACAAGCAGCGGAGCAUGCGGCUUAAUUCGACGCAACGCGAAGAACCUUACCAAGGCUUGACAUACACAGGAAUAUGGCAGAGAUGUCAUAGCGGUAAAACGUCUGUAUACAGGUGGUGCAUGGUUGUCGUCAGCUCGUGUCGUGAGAUGUUGGGUUAAGUCCCGCAACGAGCGCAACCCUCGUUGUGUUUUGCAAGCAGUUAGAUGGGGACUCACACGAGGCUUCCGGGGUUAACUCGGAGGAAGGUGGCGAUGACGUCAAAUCAUCAUGCCCCUUAUGUCUUGGGAUGCACGCAUGCUACAAAGGCUGGCACAAAGGACUGCAAUCCCGCAAAGUGG
rnacentral:rRNA from 1 species